rnacentral:rRNA from 1 species
CCUACGGGGGGCAGCAGUCGAGAAUCAUUCACAAUGGGGGAAACCCUGAUGGGGCGACGCCGCGUGGGGGAAUGAAGGUCUUCGGAUUGUAAACCCCUGUCAUGUGGGAGCAAAUUAAAAAGAUAGUACCACAAGAGGAAGAGACGGCUAACUCUGUGCCAGCAGCCGCGGUAAUACAGAGGUCUCAAGCGUUGUUCGGAAUCACUGGGCGUAAAGCGUGCGGAGGCUGUUUCGUAAGUCGUGUGUGAAAGGCGCGGGCUCAACCCGCGGACGGCACAUGAUACUGCGAGACUAGAGUAAUGGAGGGGGAACCGGAAUUCUCGGUGUAGCAGUGAAAUGCGGAGAUAUCGAGAGGAACACUCGUGGCGAAGGCGGGUUCCUGGACAUUAACUGACGCUGAGGCACGAAGGCCAGGGGAGCGAAAGGGAUUAGAUACCCUGGUAGUC